rnacentral:rRNA from 1 species
GACGAACGCUGGCGGCGUGCUUAACACAUGCAAGUCGAACGGAAAGGCCCUGCUUUUGUGGGGUGCUCGAGUGGCGAACGGGUGAGUAACACGUGAGUAACCUGCCCUUGACUUUGGGAUAACUUCAGGAAACUGGGGCUAAUACCGGAUAGGAGCUCCUGCUGCAUGGUGGGGGUUGGAAAGUUUCGGCGGUUGGGGAUGGACUCGCGGCUUAUCAGCUUGUUGGUGGGGUAGUGGCUUACCAAGGCUUUGACGGGUAGCCGGCCUGAGAGGGGGACCGGCGACAAUGGGACUGAGAUACGGACCAGACUGCUACGGGAGGCAGCAGUCGGGAAUAUUGCACAAUGGGCGGGAGCGUGAUGCAGCAACGCCCCGUGCGGGAUGACGGCCUUCGGGUUGUAAACCGCUUUCGACUGUGACGAAGCGUGAGUGACGGUAAUGUGUAAAGAAGCACCGGCUAACUACGUG